rnacentral:rRNA from 1 species
AUUGAACGCUGGCGGAAUGCUUUACACAUGCAAGUCGAACGGCAGCACGGGGCAACCCUGGUGGCGAGUGGCGAACGGGUGAGUAAUACAUCGGAACGUGCCCAGUCGUGGGGGAUAACGUAGCGAAAGUUACGCUAAUACCGCAUACGAUCUACGGAUGAAAGCGGGGGACCGUAAGGCCUCGCGCGAUUGGAGCGGCCGAUGUCAGAUUAGGUAGUUGGUGAGGUAAAGGCUCACCAAGCCGACGAUCUGUAGCUGGUCUGAGAGGACGACCAGCCACACUGGGACUGAGACACGGCCCAGACUCCUACGGGAGGCAGCAGUGGGGAAUUUUGGACAAUGGGGGCAACCCUGAUCCAGCAGUGCCGCGUGAGUGAAGAAGGCCUUCGGGUUGUAAAGCUCUUUUGUCAGGGAAGAAACACCGGCUCUAACACAGUCUGGGAAUGACGGUACCUGAAGAAUAAGCACCGGCUAACUACGUGCCAGCCGCCGCAGUAA